rnacentral:rRNA from 1 species
UACGUAGGGUCCGAGCGUUGUCCGGAAUUACUGGGCGUAAAGAGCUCGUAGGUGGUUUGUCGCGUUGUUCGUGAAAACUCACAGCUUAACUAUGGGCGUGCGGGCGAUACGGGCAGACUGGAGUACUGCAGGGGAGACUGGAAUUCCUGGUGUAGCGGUGAAAUGCGCAGAUAUCAGGAGGAACACCGGUGGCGAAGGCGGGACUCUGGGCCGAUACUGACGCUGAGGAGCGAAAGCGUGGGGAGCAAACAGG